rnacentral:tRNA from 1 species
GAGCGUCGCCGACCCCGGCACGGCUUUGCAAGCCGGAGGUCGCCGGUUCGAUCCCGGCACGCUCCA